rnacentral:lncRNA from 1 species
UGUCAUUCUGUUCCAGGUUUUAUACACUAGGAAAAAUCAAUCUGUGAUUUAUUUUGACAUAAAUAGCACCUCCUGUCUGUUAUGAAUAACAUCCAUGUGAGUGCAACCUAAAUUACAACCAUCUCUACACCUACAUUUUCAUCUCUGAUAUCAAAAUUGCUUUGCUUGCACCUCUGCAGAACGGAGCGUCACUUGUUAAUCAAACACCUUUCAGGGAAGCAUUUGUGAACACACCAUCAAGGUAAAGCCAAACAUACAUGGCUUGUACCUCCUCUUCUUUGCUAAACUGGUGCAGCUGAAACAAAAAAAUACUUGUUUUUUAGCCUUCUAUCAACUGAAUGUCCUAGCUAGGAGUAAUACUAGUGAUUGGCUUUCAAAAUGAACAAGAGAAACUAAAUUUGCGCACCAAACAUGUUUAUUUAUCUACACUUUCACUAUGUGGAAUUGCAUACUAACAUACUACUCCCUCCGUCCAAAAUAUAUAAACCAAAAUAUAUCCAAUAAUGUUGUGAAGCUUAGCUUUGUGAAACUGCUCGACCAUGCUAAUAUAUUUAAUAAUGUUGUGAAGCUGACUACCAAUUUGAUGUGAAGCAUGCUUCAUAUUUAGUACAAACUAGUUAAGGACAGAUGCCUAUUUGCUAAAAUGGUGCUAUUGACGGCAUACUCUUGCUUUUUUGAGCUCUCUAUUAACUGAGGUACAACUACAGUAGUGUUUGACUUUUCAAAAUGAAGAGCAGAAAUUAAUUUUGUACCCCCAAACAGAGAUAAACAAGUUUAUUAGCUGACAUUAUCCAGGGAGUGCCAGGCACAAACAAGCUUCUGAGAAUGCAUUUUGUUAAGCUGGGUUCAACAAUGAUGGAAUCAGUGUAACCUGUUUGAUCAUUUCAUCUUAUUUUACCUUGUGCUGCACAUCAUCAUCCACAUCUGGCGCACAAUGUGAGAAGAGAACAUAAAUGAAGUAGCAUAACUUACUGCCUUUCUUUCUGGUGCUUGCAGGAAGCAGGUAUAACAUGCAGAUGAACGCUCAAAGAUGCUGAAUGAGUUGAAUAAAAAGUCUUCAUUCAAAACUAUUCAUAAACUGUUAAAGAAAUUUUGAGCAUGUUUGCUAUACAUACGAGAACGUAGACCGAGUGCUAGUAAGUCAUGGUCCAUUUGGGGUGAAAUGUUCCUAAUUAUUAAUUGCAGAAUGUUGGUGAAAGCUUUAGCGUUAAAUUAAUUUCAUUAGCAUUGGGAUGUGUAUGAUUUCGUUACUAACUUGAUGCCAAGGGAUGUGGUUCAAAAAGUCAACUUACAGUGACCAGCAGUCUAAAAUCAAGAUUAAGCACUGGCUCGGGUAAAGCUGCACUCCCCUAGCAGAGAUGCAUCUAGACCAUUUGUUUGACUGGGUAUUUUUGGUUUAUUUCUACAACCCGGCAGCUGGGUUAGUUGAUUUGUGCUUAUCCUUGUUUGUAGAAAUAAUUGUCUUUCUCUUGAGAAGGAUAGCAGUAGUAGGCAGGAGGGUAACAUAAAACGAUUACCUAGAGCCCAUGGGUCAUAAGACACAAGACAUCAUAUGUUGUGGCACUAGCAAAUUCAUUUCGCGGAGUUGCAGGUCGCCUGCAUAUACCUGGACAUGGAAAGGGGUAGAUCAUAUCAUAAUCCAAGGUCCUGAUGAACACACACACACACACACAUGUACAGUAAGGAAAUUGCAAAACUGUUGCCUCUGUGUGAGAAAUCUCCAUGGAUGUACAGAGUGUGUGUGUGUGUGUGUGUCUAAGCUGCUACCCCACUAGAGCACGUGAACAACUUCCAUUGCGCAUCCCCGAAGGAUGAGCAACGGAAUGGACACACCAGAUUUUUUUUCCUCUGUUCGAGUUCUUCCAUGGGGCUACUUAAUCACAUAUCCCAAAGAAAUGUUUCAUACUCCAAUGGCUUCCCUAUGAGCCAAGGAAUCCAACAAGAUGCCAAUAAACAUGCAUAUAUGUACAACAAGGAAAUUGAAAAAAAGAAGCACAAAUAUGAUAGCCUGCAGCAUGAAAAGGCACAUAAAUUUUGGUAAAUUAUUGUGUUUUUGUUCCACUAGAAUAUAAAAAUCAAGAUCUUAUUACUUGGUAGAAACACAAAAAUACUACUCCCUCCGAUCCAUAUGACCUGUCGCUCAAACGCAUGUAUCUACUGCUAGAUACAUCCAUUUGAACAAUAACUAAUAUGGAUCGGAGGGAGUACCAAAAAUCAAAUAGAAGGCCCUACACUCUCUCAUGAGCAUGAGAGCAUCUGCCCUUUCAUUCACUAACUAAAACAAAUGCUAACUAAUUACUCCCUCCUCAAGCAUCUCUUCUUUCACAUACAUUUUGAGACCUCAGCAGUUUGGCAAAAUUUAAUAGAUAGAAACAAAUAAUAUCAGUAAACUGUCUAGUCAGACCAAAACAACAUGAAAAAAGUUAAAGGUUUAAAAUAAAUUCUAUAUCUCAGGUACUUUUUUAUAUUUUUUGGAUGAGAAACUAUCAUGACAGAGUAGGGGAAAAAGAGAGGAAUUGACAAUAGAACGAUUACCGAGAGUUGACUAUGCAUCAGGAUCUAGGCACCUUCACAAGCAAGAAGUCAAAUGCAGCAGCAGCCCGCCUGUCACGAGCAAAGCAGGGCGGCUAUGUGCCUGAACAAACAAUUGUUUUAUAGAUAGCAACAUCAUAUCAGAACAGGCCAACAUCAAACCUGAAGAACUGAAUGAAUACACGUACAGCAAAGGAAACUGAACAAGAAAAAGAUGUCCAUGGAUCUAUCUGUCUAGAGAGAUAGAGAAGGAGUGGACAGCCUCCAUUCAUUCAUUUCGAGUGGACAGCUUGGGCCAUGUGCACACAUCCCCAAAAGAUGAGCACAUACUUAAAAAGUAAAUAAACCCCACAAGCAAAUGGACGAUUUCAAAGUGCACCAAUCUCUCUGAUAGAACCACGCCUGCACAACGGUUAUUAGACACGUAUAAAUAUUGUUAACUUAUGUAACUUGAUUAAAAAAAUCAAAAUCCUAAGAGAAACACAUACAAAAUUAAUUUGUUGUUAAAAGUCAAAUCAAAUCACAAGCAAAAGUAUCACUUGCAUGUUCUUAUGCUAAAAAAACUCACUCUCAUCUUUGGUACAUGGACUAAAGGAAAACUCUGUUUCUUUUUUUCCUUCUCUUCUUUCCUAAACGAAAUAGACGCACCAAAGAAAAUUUUCAUACUCCAACUAUUUUCCUCUGAUUCUACUACGAGUAAAGAAAUAUGAGAUCAUUUUAGAUCACUAAUCUAAAAUGACUAAUUAAGAUUACUCUAGCAUAGCAUUGGACACCAAGUUUUUUAAUCUUAGCACAUACCCUCAUACCACCUUAGCACCAGUGAAAAGUGGACUAUAACAAUGAAAGCAAAGAAUGUGAGGAUUGGUGCUUAAAGAUUAAAAGGCUUUAGCGACACCGCUAGGCUAAUAAAAUGUAUGGAUUGUUAUAGUUCUCUGUAUUAAUUCGGAUGAUCCAUAAAAGUGGUACUAAGGGGUGUGGAAAAAAAAACUCAUCAAAGAGUGCUUUAUAGGCCACCAAAAGUAAAGGAAUUGCAAGAAGAGGUUUGAGAAAAAAAUUCUUGAAAAAUAAUAGACUGCAUGAAUUCUUGGGAAAAAUCCCAAAGAGUUUGAUAUCCUUUUAGGAAAAAUUCCCACAGAUCCAAACACCCUAAAAACCGUAUUCCGGUGAAUCUUCUGAACAAGGAUUUUUUUUUUUGCUUUGUCAUCCGCUGAUAUACAGAAGAUUAAAAAAAACUAUGCACACAGCUGGGAUAUUCGUUUUGCUCGAUGGAUGGGAAAUAUCUGUAAUAUUGUAACAUAAAAUACAGACAGAUCCAACCUGCAAGCCAAGACAGAAGAAACAUGGCGGUAAACAAGGAUGGAUUCGUGAGAUGCGACUCGUUUUCUUUCUUAGAUUAUAUUAGAGGGGGCCGGGGAUUAGAUUAGAUUAGAUGAAAGAAGAAAGAAGCUAGCCUAGCAGUAGCAGAGGACUCACCCACCCAUGAGACGAACAAGCGCUAGCUGGGGGAGCCCGGCCCGGCCGCCGUGAGAGUCUCCGGGAGCCACCGUACCUUGACCGUGCUGUUUCCCAUCUGGACAUGGAGGGGAGGUACGUUGCCGCCGUCCGGCCAGCGGGCCUGCGCCUCGAUCUGGCGGGGCCAGAUGCCUAGAUCCAUCUCUCUAGCCAUCGCCAUCGCCAUCGCCAUGGGAGAAGGGUGCACGGUGGCAGGGGGUUGGUUGCAAGGAAGGAAGGGUGAGGCCAUCGAUCGAUCCUUCCGUGGUGGCAGGCAGUUGGAAGGAGGAGGCCGGAGAUCUGAGGAGAGGAGCAGGAGAGAGAGGCGGCUAGGCUAGGCUAGGGUUUCCCUUGUUGGAUCCAGGCAGCAGCGAGAAGAUAAGGCGCAUCCAGAUCUGACAACCGAUUUAGUAGUACGUAUUUGACAAAAGUUAAUACGUAUGGUGGGUGGCAGGCAGGCGCAUGCGCAUGCGUGGGGUUUCUCUUUCUUUCUUUUGCAAUCCGUAUAUGGGCACGCACGGAUUUUCACGUCAUGCCUGACCUGACCGACCGCCUGACUGACUCGACCGAGGGGUGGCCCAACCAAGUAGCAAGGUCCGCUUCCAUUCACAUUUCACAAGCCAUGAUAAAUACUCCCGUUCAACCCAUAAUGUUUUCCACCCCUCAAAAAAAAACCCUCCUCCUGCUCAUUUUCUUUUCUUCCGCCCGUAAGAGCAACUCCGGAGUUCAAGGCAAGCACGUAGGGUCUGUUUGGCUGGAUACUAGUGUGGUCAAGUCAAAGUGUGGCUAGCCACACAAGUAUGGCAAGCCACACAAGUGUGGCUGUGAAAUUGGACGCCAAAUUUUGGCAAAAGUUAACAAAAAAAUUGUCUCUAUGACAAAUGGGUCAUAUGGGCAAUAAAGUGUGACAAGCCAAAGUGUGGCAAAAACCAAACACAUGCCAACUAAACUGUGGUUGCCAAAUUUUAGCUUGGCAAACUGUGACUGGGAACCAAACAUCCCUGUAAUCAACUAGCCAGUGAGCUACAGAUUAUUACUGGUUUAGAUGUAUAUAUGGUGGUCUUAUAUAUCUUUUAGGUAGAAUUGAUCUGAAUAAAAAGUUAUGCACUGCACGCGAGCGACACUUUAUCUUCAAGCAAUUAUUUGGCACACUGGCCCAUUGAACCAGACGUGUCCUUUUACAAACCGGAGGUAAAAACCAAGUCGUCAAAGGAUAUUUGCAAAGUCUACUGAUUUCCAUGCCGAAUACAUUGGUGAAAUAGAAGCGAUGACCAAAAGAAUAGAAAACCGGGUCAGACAUUUCAUUGAACACGUGAGCACAUGGUAAAAAUAUGGAGGAGUUUGACAUAUCGGGAAGUCGUCCGGUUGCGGCAACCUUGUCCGGUGGCGGUGUGAGUUGUGGUGUCCGGUGGCGAAGCCCUGAGUUGAGAUGGCGGGGGAGCACCGAUACCGGCGGAAGUCCGGUGACGGCAAUGCGGAGGAGGGUGAACAGAGAAGAUCAGAGUGUUGCUUAAGCAAGGAGAGGGAAGGUGGAUAUGACUGAAUUGACACGGACACCAGCGGUCAGUCCUACGUGGCGGGUGUGCCCAGGCAACAGGCGCGUCCGAGACUCCCUAUAUCCGCCCCAUAUAUGGCGGAAUAUGGGGAGUGUCGGCCAGUCCGGAUGUUUAGGCCAGAUAUGGGUAGCCCGGUUGGGUGGCAUUUUUUGAUCCGGACAGUGACCGGGCAGCUCAUCGGGGCAUCUAGGGCUAGUACGGAGGAUCCAGUUAUAAAUGCUCUUAGUAAAGAAUACAUCCUAAUUUAUAGUGCCUAAAAGACCAGCUGAUGGGCCAGUAGACGAGCAGUAGGGCUGUAAAAAUGUGAACAGGGAGGCACACCGGUUUGGUUUCAAAAAUUAUGUGAAGAAAGAAGAAGAACAAUUCUAUAAAUGAUAUAAGGAGACUAUGACUAAUUAAUCAACAAGUAACUGUUGGUGGACUGGCUAGCCUCUCUAGGUCAAUGUUGUGUUGUCUUUGGUUCGAGUCCCGUCGGCUUCACUCAAUAUUUAAUUCUUCAUUUUAUUUCUCUAUCAGCACUUAUAUGUGGGGUCUGCAUUUAGGCUGCUUGUAAUGAGGAGUACCAUAUACUAGUAUUAUGUAUAUGAUACUAAUGUAUCAUGUAUAUUACUUAUGAUACUCCCAUUACUUGUAAUGGGUUGUCUUAUUAAUUGCAUGAUAUUACUUAUAAUAUUUCCAUUACAACCAGUCUUAAGAGAGCACAGGCCCAGACUAGCUGGCUUGCCAAGUAAACAUAGCUAACAAAGAGAUAACGGCCUGAGACGGAAAUGCAUGUAAAUUUACCUCAAAGGUAAGUUGUUGUACUACUUUGUGACAUUUUUCAACUUUAUGUAUGAAUUUGUAUCCACCAUGCAAGUUUAUGUAUUAAAAGUGUAAUUAACUCGAAAAUAAAAACAAGCAUUUAAUUAAACAUAAAAACCGGCCACGAAGGCCGACGAUAGUCCACACGUUCACAUCCAACAUAAAAAAGCUAGCUACGAGGCGGCACGCUGCCCUACGCGUCGUCAUCGUCGUCGGGCCCGAUGAGGUCGAUGAGCAUCGGCGCAAGGCCGGCCCAGGGGAACGUCGUGUUCCAGAGGCCGUUCAUGUCGGGCGCAGACUGUGCCACUGCCGCCUGGACCUGACGCGUCUCCUCCUCGGCCUCACGCUGCUCCUCCUCAGCGUCGCGCUCAAGCAUCUCGAGGUAUUCGUCGUGGCGACGCUCCUCGGCUAGCCGUUGCUGGCGCCAUUGCUCGAGGUACGCCGCCACCUGCGCCGGCGUCGCUCCCGUCUAGACCGCGCGGAGCGCUGACCCACUCGCGCACUCGCCCGGUCCAUGAGUAGCGCUCGAUGGGGGUUGGCUCCGGCUCGGCCUUAACGGGGGAAGGCGGGGACAUCGGCGGCACCACGCAGUCGCCCGCCGCGGAGAAGGCCAUGGCCGCCUAGUACGCCACAUCCUCUUCCUCCCUGCGACGCUCCUCCUCCUCACUCUCCCGGAGGACAAUCGCCAUGGUCGCCUGGUAGGCGACCUCCGCCUCCUGGUCUUCGUCGCAGACGACGAGGGGGCGGCGGCGACCUGCGGCCAACUUCGCGCACGCCUCGCCUCCUCGUGCUCGAAGGCGAACCAACGAGCCUAGUUGGGCGAGUCGAAGGCGUACGCGGCGUCGCUGCGCUACUCCGGCGCCAGCAGCACCCGCCGGCGCCACACCUCUCCGGAUCCAGAUGCCAGUCGUGCGAUAGGGUCACGUCGGGAUACGGGAGAUGCACAUAGUGCUGCCAGUGCCACUCCGCCUGGCGCACUGGCACGCUGAUGCGUUGUCGCUGCCGGCGAGCUAGCGCCGGCGGAGGCGGGGGGACUCGGGUGGAAAAGGGAUGGUCGGGGCCUUGCCCUUUGCUACCUCUUGAGCAUGCGUUGGUUUUCCCCUGAAGAAGAAAGGGUGAUGCAGCAAAGUAGUAUAAGUAUUUCCCUCGGUUUUUGAGAACCAAGGUAUCAAUCCAGUAGGAGACUACAUGCAGGUCCCUCGUACCUGCACAAACAAAUAAGAACCUUACAACCAACACGAUAAAGGGGUUGUCAAUCCCUUCACGGCCACUUGCAAAAGUGAAAUCUGAUAAAGAUAAGAAUAUAAAUAUUUUUGGUAUUUUUGUUGUAUAGAUUGGAAAAUAAAGAUUGCAAAAUAAAAGGCGGCAGAAAUAAAAAGUACAUAGGAAAAUAAUAUGAUGGAAGAUGGACCCGAGGGCCAUAGGUUUCACUAGUGGAUUCUCUCAAGAUAGCAAAUUCUAUGGUGGGUGAACAAAUUACUGUUGAGUAAUUGAUAGAAAAUCGCAUAGUUACGAGAAUAUCUAGGCAUGAUCAUGUAUAUAGGCAUCACGUCCGUGACAAGUAGACCGAAACGAUUCUACAUCUACUACUGUUACUCCACACAUCGACCGCUAUCCAGCAUGCAUCUAGAGUAUUAAGUUCAUAAGAACAGAGUAACACAUUAGGCAAGAUGACAUGAUGUAGAGGGAUAAACUCAAGCAAUAUGAUAUAAAACUCCAUCUUUUUAUCCUUGAUGGCAACAAUACAAUACGUGCGUUGUUACCCCUGUUGUCACUGGGAAAGGACACCGCAAGAUUGAACCCAAAGCUAAGCACUUCUCCCAUUUCAAGAAAGAUCAAUCUAGUAGGCCAAACCUAACUGAUAAUUCGAAGAGACUUGCAAAGAUAUUAAAUCAUGCAUAAAAGAAUUUAGAGAAGAAUCAAAUAUUGUUCAUAGAUAAUCUUGAUCAUAAAUCCACAAUUCAUCGGAUCUCGACAAACACACCGCAAAAAGAAUUACAUCGAAUAGAUCUCCAAGAGAAUCAAGGAGAACUUUGUAUUGAGAUCCAAAGAGAGAGAAGAAGACAUCUAGCUAAUAACUAUGGACCCAAAGGUCUGUGGUAAACUACUCACACAUCAUCGGAGAGGCUAUGGUGUUGAUGUAGAAGCCCUUCGUGAUCGAUUCCCCCUCCGACGGAGCGCCGGAAAAGGUCCCAGGAUGGGAUCUCACGGGUACAGAAGGUUGUGGCAGUGAAAAUAGGGUUUUGUGGUGCUCUCGGAUGUUUUUGGGGUAUAUGAGUAUAUAUAUAGGCGAAAGAAGUAGGUCGGUGAAGCCACGAGGGUGGGGGCGCGCCUACCCCCUGGGCGCGCCCUCCUACCUCGUGGCCGCCUCGUUGCUUCCUUGACGUCCACUCCAAGUCUCCUGGAUUGCGUUUGUUCCAAAAAUAACUCUCCCGAAGGUUUUAUUCCGUUUGGUAUUCCUUUUCUGCGAAACACUGAAAUAGACAAAAAAACAACAAUUUGCACUGGGCCUUUGGUUAGUAGGUUAGUCCCAAAAAUAAUAUAAGUGCAUAACAAAGCCCAUCAAACAUCCAAAACAGAUAAUAUAAUAGCACGGAACAUAAAAAAUUGUAGAUACGUUGGACACGUAUCAAGCAUCCCCAAGCUUAAUUCAUACUCGUCCUCGAGUAGGUAAAUAAUAAAAACAAAAUUUUUGAUGUGGAAUGCUACCUAGCAUAAUUCUCAAUGUAAUUUUCUUUAUUGUAGCAUGAAUGUUCAGACCCGAAAGAUUCAAGACAAAAGUUUAAUAUUGACAUAAAAAUAAUAAUACUUCAAACAUACCAACAAAGCAAUCAUGUCUUCUUAAAAUAACAUGGCCAAACAAAGUUAUCCCUACAAAAUCAUAUAGUCUGGCUAUGCUCUAUCUUCAUCACACAAAGUAUUUAAUCAUGCACAACCCCGAUGACAAGCCAAGCAAUUGUUUCAUACUUUUGAUGUUCUCAAACUUUUUCAAUCUUCACGCAAUAUAUGAGAAGAUAGUCUCACAUCAACUAGGCGUAUCAACGGGCUAUGAAGAUGCCCAUCAAUAAAUAUCAAUGUGAGUGAGUAGGGAUUGCCAUGCAACGGAUGCACUAGAGUAUAAGUGUAUGAAGCUCAACAAAAGAAACUAAGUGGGUGUGCAUCCAACUCGCUUGCUCACGAAGACCUAGGGCAUUUUGAGGAAGCCCAUCAUUGGAAUAUACAAGCCAAGUUCUAUAAUGUAAAAUUCUCACUAGUAUAUGAAAGUGACAACAUAGGAGACUUUCUAUCAUGAAGAUCAUAGUGCUAUUUUGAAGCACAAGUGUGGUAAAAGGAUAGUAACAUUGCCCCUUCUCUCUUUUUCUUUCAUUUCUCUAUUUUUUUCCCUUUUUUGGGCCUUUUUCCUUUUUUUAUGGCCUCAUUUUUUCUCUUUUUUUCUUUCCGCCCGGAGUCUCAUCCUGACUUGUGGGGGAACCAUAGUCUCCAUCAUCCUUUCCUCACUUGGGACAAUGCUCUAAUAAUGAUGAUCAUCACACUUUUAUUUACUUACAACUCAAAAAUUACAACUCGAUACUAGAACAAAAUAUGACUCUAUGUGAAUACCGCCGGCGGUGUAUCGGGAUGUGCAAUGAAUCAAGAGUGACAUGUAUGAAAGAAUUAUAAAGGUGGCUUUGCCACAAAUACGAUGUCAACUACAUGAUCAUGCAAAGCAAUAUGACAAUGAUGUAACAUGUCAUAACAAACGAAACGGUGGAAAGUUGCAUGGCAAUAUAUCUCGGAAUGGCUAUGGAAAUGCCAUAGUAGGUAGGUAUGGUGGCUGUUUUGAGGAAGGUAUAUGGUGGGUGUAUGAGACCGGCGAAAAGAUGCGCGGUAUUAGAGAGGCUAGCAAUGGUGGAAGGGUGAGAGUGCGUAUAAUCUAUGGACUCAACAUUAGUCAUAAAGAACUCACAUACUUAUUGCAAAAAUCUAUUAGUUAUCGAAAUGAAGUACUACGCGCAUGCUCCUAGGGGGUAGAUUGGUAGGAAAAGACCAUCGCUCAUCCCCAACCGCCAUUCAUAAGGAAGACAAUCAAUAAAUAAAUCAUGCUCCGACUUCAUCACAUAACGGUUCACCAUACAUGCAUGCUACGGGAAUCACAAACUUUAGAACAAGUAUUUCUCAAAUUCACAACUACUCAACUAGCAUGAAUCUAAUAUCAUCAUCUUCAUAUCUCAAAACAAUCAUAAAGAAUCAAACUUCUCAUAGCAUUCGAUGCACUUUAUAUGAUAGUUUUUAUUAUACCCAACUUGGAUUUUCAUCAUAUUAGGACUAAUUUUAUAGCCAAAGCAAAUUACCAUGUUGUUUUAUAAGACUCUCAAAAUAAUAUAAGUGAAGCAUGAGAGAUCAAUAAUUUCUAUAAAAUAAAACCACCACUGUGCUCUUUAAAAAGAUAUAAGUGAAGCACUAGAGCAAAAUUAUCUAGCUCAAAAGAUAUAAGUGAAGCACAUAGAGUAUUCUAAUAAAUUCCAAUUCAUGUGUGUCUCUCCAAAAGGUGUGUACAGCAAGGAUGAUUGUGGUAAACUAAUAAGCAAAGACUCAAAUCAUACAAGACACUCUAAGCAAAACACAUAUCAUGUGGUGAAUAAAAAUGUAGCCUCAAGUAAAGUUACCGAUGGACGAAGACAAAAGAGGAGAUGCCUUUCGGGGCAUCCCCAAGCUUAGGCUUUUGGUUGUCCUUGAAUUUUAUCUUCGGGUGCCAUGGGAAUCCCCAAGCUUAAGCUCUUGCCACUCCUUAUUCCAAAAUCCAUCAAAUCUUUACCCAAAACUUGAAAACUUCACAACACAAAACUCAACAGAAAAUCUCAUGAGCUCCGUUAGUAUAAGAAAACAAAUCACCACUUCAAGGUACUGUAAUGAACUCAUUCCUUAUUUAUAUUGGUGUUAAACCUACUGUAUUCCAACUUCUCUAUGGUUCAUACCCCCCGAUACUAGCCAUAGAUUCAUCAAAAUAAACAAACAAUACACGAAAAAUAAAAUCUGUAAAAAAGUGGCAGCGAAUCUCGUGAGCGCUAAAGUUCCUGUUUUUUACAGCAAGAUCGCAAAGGCUUCUCCCAAUUCUUCCCAAAGGUUCUACUUGUCACAAACACUAAUUAAAAACAUAAAUCUACAUCUAAACAGAAGCUUGAUGAAUUAUUUAUUACUAAGCAGGAACAAAAAGUAAGAAACAAAAAUAAAAUUGGGUUGCCUCCCAACAAGCGCUAUCGUUUAACGCCCCUAGCUAGGCAUUGAUAAUUUCAAUGAUGCUCACAUGAAAGACAAGAAUUGAAGCACAAAGAAAGCAUCAUGAAACACGUGACAAACACAUCUAAGUCUAACAUACUUCCUAUGCAUAGGCAUCUUAUAGGUAAACAAAUUAUCAUAGCAAGCAAAAACUAGCAUAUGCAAGGAAGCGGAAAGAAACAAUAGGAAUCUCAUCAUAACGAGAGGUAAUUUAGUAACAUGAAAAUUUCUACAAUCAUAUUUUCCUCUCUUAUAAUAAUUACAUGUAGGAUCAUAAUCAAAUUCAACAAUAUAGCUAUCACAUGAAAUUUUCUCUUCAUGAUCCACAUGCAUGCAAAGUUGACACUCUUCCGAAAUAGUGGAUUAACAUUAACUAAAGUCAUGACCUCUCCAAACCCACUUUUAUCAAAAACUUCAUAAGAUUGAACAUUCUCCAAAUAUGUGGGAUCUAAAGUUGACACUCUUCCAAACCCACUUUCAAUAUUAUUGCAAACAUUAUUAUCAAUCUCAUAAUCAUCAUGGGGCUUAAAUAAUUUUUCAAGAUAAGAAGAAUCAUCCCAAUCAUGAUCAUUGCAACAAAUAGUAGUCAUAGCAAAACUAGCAUCCCCAAGCUUGAGGUUUUGCAUAUCAUUAACACAAUUGACAUUAAGAGAAUUUAUGAUAACAUCAUUGUAAUCAUGCUUUUCACCGAAGAAACUAUCAAGUAUGGGUGCAAUAGCAACGAUCUCAUGUUUAACAUAAGGAACUAUAGCAAGCUCAUCUUCAUAAAUAUUGACAUCAUGGCCACAAGAAUCGCAAGCAUCAUGUUCAUCAAGGGAUAUUUCAAUCAAAUCAUCUGAAUCAUAAUUAUCUAUAGGUUCAUGCAUAUCAUUAUUUACUUCCAAAGCAGCGGUACGAUCAUUCUUUCAAUAAAUUCUUUGACAUAGACAUUAUGAGCAUAGUUUUCAUAGCAAUAUUUAAGUAUGUCAAAGAUUCGUAGAGGGUAAUAUCAUCUCUACUACUAUUAAACAAGUAAACAUAUUCUUCACUUCACGCACCCCAACACUUGUACACAGAACAAUGAAGAUGAUUUGCCACCACACGAUCAGGCCAACUUAAUUAGAUCUAACCCUCCACAUUAAAAUUAACCUUCACCAAAAAGUACGCCUAUCAACUAUCAUGGGCGGACGAAACUCUGCCAAUGAACGACAAGUUCCGCCCAUCUGCCACCGGAAAAUUCGCGAGGAGGAUUUAGCGGGAUGAUUUUCAUACUCUGGGGUUUUAGUGAUAGAAGAGAGGAAGAUUAAACAUGCUGUUCCAUAACUUUAGGACGUGGGACGCCCAGAAUGAAUCUGGGUGUUGCGGAGUGCGGAUCUGAUUUCUUCACACGAAUCCCGUCGUCGCUUCCCACCCGCCGUCCCUCUCUUCCGUCAUCGCCCAACUAUCCUCAUCGUCUUCCUUGCACGCGUCACCCCAUCGGCGCCGCCCAGCAAGCACCCUUGACCCCGUGCACACAUGCCCGCUGCUGACCAAACGCCCCGCCUCCUCGCGCAUGUGGCACUGGGGGUCAGCCCUGGACAUACACCUCCACACCCGCAGCUGCCCAUGAACAGCCACGCGUGUGAUCGCGGGACGGCGGCGCAGAGUCCCCUUCCGUUGCGAGAUCUGCACUGCCUCUCUCCAGCAUCGCAUUGCUUGUAACGCCCGGAGACCAUUGCGCCAGGUGUCUUCCAGUUUUUCGCUGUUGUUGCCUUGUCUGUCGCUUGCAUGUUGCAUCUUGCCAUGUCAUCAUGUGCAUUGCAUCAUCGUGUUUUCAAAACUUGCAUCCGUCCAGAUUCCCCCAGUUCUCUCUGUUGUCCGUUCUGAGCCCAGUCACACUCGCACGCGCCCGCGGCACCUCCAAAAUAUUAUUUUAUAAGUGGCCGGAAAAUGUUCUCGGAAUGGGAUGAAAAUUGGCAUGUGGUCUUAUUAUAGUGUAGAUAGACCGUUUGUCAGGUUUCGUCGCAUUCGGGGUCCGUUUGAGGCUCCAAUGGAUAACUAUAGCGGCAGUAUAGCCGGUCUAUCGUCAGACAUUUUCGGUCUCCAGAAACCUUGCCGGGCUGCAUUUCCGUCUCUCUCCUCUCAGCCCUGAUAACCCACAAGUAUAGGGGAUCGCAACAGUUUUCGAGGGUAGAGUAUUCAACCCAAAUAUAUUGAUUCAGCGCAAGGGGAGCCAGAGAAUAUUCUCAAGUAUUAGCAGUUGAGUUGUCAAUUCAACCACACCUGGAAACUUAGUAUCUGCAGCAAAGUGUUUAGUAGCAAAGUAAUAUGAUAGUAGUGGUAACGAUAGCAAAAGUAACGGUAGCAAAAGUAAUUUUUUGGUGUUUUGUAGUGAUGAUAACAAUAGCAACUGAAAAGUAAAUAAGCGAAGAACAAUAUAUGGAAAGCUCGUAGGCAAUGGAUCGAUGAUAGAGAAUUAUGCCGGAUGCGGUUCAUCAUGUAACAGUCAUAACCUAGGGUGAGACAGAACUAGCUCCAAUUCAUCAAUGUAAUGUAGGCAUGUAUUCCGAAUAUAGUCAUACGUGCUUAUGGAAAAGAACUUGCAUGACAUCUUUUGUCCUACCCUCCCGUGGCAGCGAGGUCCUAGCGGAAACUAAGGGAUAUUAAGGCCUCCUUUUAAUAGAGUACCGGACCAAAGUAUUAACACAUAGUGAAUACAUGAACUCCUCAAACUACGGUCAUCACCGGGAGUGGUCCCGAUUAUUGUCACUUCGGGGUUGCCGGAUCAUAACACAUAGUAGGUGACUAUAGACUUACAAUAUAGGAUCAAGAACUCACAUAUAUUCAUGAAAACAUAAUAGGUUCAGAUCUGAAAUCAUGGCACUCGGGCCCUUGUGACAAGCAUUAAGCAUAGCAAAGUCAUAGCAGCAUCAAUCCCAGAACAUAGUGGAUACUAGGGAUCAAACCCUAACAAAACUAACUCGAUUACAAGAUAAAUCUCAUCCAACCCAUCACCGUCCAGCAAGCCUACGAUGGAAUUACUCACGCACGGCGGUGAGCAUCAUGAAAUUGGUGAUGGAGGAUGGUUGAUGAUGACGAUGACGACGGAUUCCCCUCUCCGGAGCCCCGAACGGACUCCAGAUCAGCCCUCCCGAGAGAGUUUAGGGCUUGGCGGAGGCUCCGUACGUAAAACGCGACAAAUCCUUCUCCCUGGUUUUUUCUCCUCGAAAGUGAAUAUAUGGAGUCAAGGUUGAGGUUGAUAGAGCGUCAGGGGGCCCACGAGGCAGGGGCGCGCCCAUGGGGUAGGGCGCGCCCCCACCCUCGUGGACAGGUGGAGGCCCCCCUGACGCGGAUCUUCCUUCCAGUAUUUUUUAUAUAUUCCAAAAUAAUUCUCCGUUGAUUUUCAUGUCAUUCCAAGAACUUUUAUUUCUACACAAAAAUAACACCAUGGUAAUUCUGCUGAAAACAGCGUCAGUCCGGGUUAGUUCCAUUCAAAUCAUGCAAGUUAGAAUCCAAAACAAGGGCAAAAGUGUUUGGAAAAGUAGAUACGACGGAGACGUAUCAAGCCCAACCCACUCUCCACAUCCCACCUAACCCAGCUAAACCCUUCUCUUGAUCAGAACUGUCGGAUCGCGAUUGGGUGCUCCGAAACGCUCCAAAAUCCCCCUAACCCUAACCCUGCCUAUUUAAACACCUCCCCUUGCCAGAUUUGGAAGCCUAGUCAUCCACCUACCUCUAGCCGCCUCCCUCCUUGCAUUCCGCGCCCGUCCACCCGCGCGCCGCCACUUGGCGGAUCCAGGCGAGCCAACGCCCUCGUCAACCGCCGCAGCCGCCGCCCUCCACCAGUCCCAGCGUGCCACCUGUCCACCCGCUGUCGCCCACAGCCAACCCCGUGCUGCUACCUCGUCCGCUCCACCUCCCCACCCCACGCGGCCCGGCGCAUCCCGUAGCCGGCCCACCCGGGCCCGACCGCACCGACCGCGACCGCUGGUGCCCGACCCAGUCGUCCCGCUCCUCCCGCUCGAUCUCGAGGGGAUCAAGAGCGCUCGCCGCCCGUCCGCUCCUCUUCCCCGAGGACCCCGCCGUCAUCUCGCCGUGCUCCGCCGCCCCCCAGGUCGCCGACCACCGCUCCCUUCCCCAUCUCCUUCUCCUCCUAACCCUAAUCCCCCCAUCUCUCUCUCUCUCGGCGCCAUGAACAGGAGAAGGAGCUCCGAGCUCGCCGCCGGCUCCAUUUCGCUGCCCCACCACCCGGAUCUGGCGGGAUCCGGCUGGAUCCGCCCCGUCAUGCUGAAAGGAUCGAGAAGAGGUGUCUAGAUGGGGGGGGAUAGACUCUAGUCAAGAAAACUUGCAGUUUUUAACUUCUUUAGAUUUAAGUAGAGUUUUGGCACAAGUUUAAACAUUCACAAUACAUAUCAAGCAAGCAUGACAAGAGUAUAUGAGCAGUGGAAAGUAAAGCAUGCACGUUGCAAGAAUGUAAAGGGAUGGGAUUGGAGUGUGCAAACGCAAUUGGAGACACGGAGAUUUUUGGCAUGGUUCCGAUAGGUGGUGCUAUCGUACAUCCACGUUGAUGGAGACUUCAACCCACGAAGGGUAACAGUUGCGCGAGUCCACGAAGGGCUCCGCCCAUGAAGGGUCCACGAAGAAGCAACCUUGUCUACCUCACCAUGGUCGUCACCCAUGAAGGACUUGCCUCACUCGGGUAGAUCUUCACGAAGUAGACGAUCUCCUUGCCCUUACAAACUCCUUGGUUCAACUGCACAAUCUUGACAGAGGCUCCCAAGUGACACCUAACCAAUCUAGGAGACACCACUCUCCAAGAGGUAACAAAUGGUGUGUUGAUGAUGAACUCCUUGCUCUUGUGCUUCAAAUGAUAGUCUCCCCAACACUCAACUCUCUCUCAUAGGAUUUGGAUUUGGUGGAAAGAUGAUUUGAGUGGAAAGCAACUUGGGAAGGCUAGAGAUCAAGAUUUAUGUGGUUGGAAUGGAAUAUCUUGACCUCAACACAAGUGUAGGUGGUUCUCUCUCAGAAAAAUGUAUGUUGGAAGUGUAGGCAUGUUCUGAUGGCUCUCUCCACGAAUGAAGAGUGGGUGGAGGGGUAUAAAUAGCCUCCACACAAUAUCUAACCGUUACACACAAAUCACCAAACUCGGUGGGACCAAAUCAUACAACUCGGUCAGACCGAUUUAGUUCAAAAUGUGACCGUUAGGGUUUUCGCUGGGACUGUCGUGGUUUUGUCACGGCAGAUCUCCUAGUGAAAGGACUUAGUCGUGGAGCCAUCGCGACGGGUUAGCUUAAAGGGGUUAAAGUGGACAAGGGAUGCAAGGAAUUAUACUGGUUCGGCCCCUUACGAUGAAGGUGAAAGCCUACUCCAGUUGUGAUGGAAUUGCUAGGGUUUCGAUGACCAGGGAGCGAAUCCGCUUUGCCUGUAUCUCGAGUUAUUGUUGUCUGUCCCUAAACCGCCGCCGGGUCGUCCCUUUAUAUACACAGGUUGACUCCCGACAGUUUAUAGAAUCCCGAGGCCGGCUCAUAAACGUGCCCGGCUCGGUUUCUACCUUUCCUUGCCUUAAAACAUAAGUUUCAUAUCAUAUGGCGGUUUAUGCCUACGGGCUCUAAUCCGCCUUUGGGCCCUGGGCCUUCAUGUUAGAUCUCCUCUGUAAAGCGCCAUACCUCUUGUCUUCAUGGGCUUCAAACAUGACUAACUCCCUGUGGACAUAACCCAGCCCCUCAUGGCCGGUUUAUACUUAAUAGUAAUAUCCCCAACAUUAGGCCCCAGAUUGAUUUGAUCUCGUUCAUGUCAAUCUUCAAUACUUAGAAAAAUUCCUCCUUCCGCACCUUCGCAUAGAUCUUGUAAACUGUCGUGACGUCAUCUUCCAGGUUCAUAAUAAACCGCCAUGACGUCACCUGUUCAUUAAAACCGAAGAUACCCUUCAUUAAUUAUAUGAUCCUCCAACAAUCGAGGCAACAACUUUGCUGCAUAUCCAUUUUUUGGGCUCCUUGAUUUCUGCGCCUGUCGCCUAUCUCUUUGUCUUAUAAAUAGGGCCGAGGGUCCCUUUCCUUUCCUCCUGUUGCCUCUUUGUCUAUCUUCUAUCUUGCGUCGCCUCAACACUCAAGCGCCGCCGUCGUCGUCGACCUUCGCUUCUGCCUCAACUCCGGCCGCUGCAUCACCCUGACUGUACCAGAAACCCGUAGCGCCUCUCCGCUGUUUCACAGCUUUAGUAAGUUGUUCUUCCUUUCCUCUAUAGAUUUGCUAGGGUUCGCGCGAGUUCAUAGAAACUUCAUUGUGUUCUUCCCUUAUUCUUCAUUAGAUCCUUAUGUAAUGGACUCCAAACUUGAUGUACUUCCAUGUGGUAGUAAUGAUAACCCUUAUUUUGUCAUCAAACCAUGUUCUUUGUGUGUGAAAAUCCGAUCUGGAAUUUCCCAAACUGCUCAGGCACCAAUUUUUAGGUCUAAAUAUUUUCCUUUUCCUGACAUGUGGUAGAUCCAAAAUUCCAAUGUGAACAUGUGAAUCUUGUUUUUCCUUACUUAGUCAUUUUUUGCUUCAGAUCUGUACUUUCAUUGUCUGUGUAGGCGGUUUUGUCCUUUAGAAAAUAAUCUGCCAUAUGCCAUUAGUCCCCUCGUAAACCGCCAGUCACUUUACCAUUUAUAAUAGCAUCAACCUCCGGUUUAACAAUUUUGCAUGCUUGAAUGCUUUUUCCUUAACCUGCUACGCCUUAUGCUUGCUAACCAUGAGUCUUAAACCGGCAUCAAUCUUUUCCAGCUCCUCAUUCGAAAUGGCCAAACAAUUUUAUGCUUGUAACUGGGUCCCUUCUCGGGUUACUAAAGAGCAGCUAGAUGGAUGCGUCAGAACUGGCGUUUUACCAAAACAAAGCAAAAUCCACUGGCGUAUUCCCGGUCCAGAAAAUCCUCCUACCCAAAAAGACGGUAAGGUAGUGGUAUUUGUUGAUCACAUGAACCGUGGUUACCACCCGGAUCCAAGUUUUUCCGUGAUGUGCUUGCCAGCUUCCAGAUCCACCCUCAAGAUAUUGGACCCAACUCUGUGUCCAAUAUUUGCGACUUUCAAGUGUUUUGUGAAGCCUAUCUGCAAGAAGAGCCAACUGUUGAAUUGUUCCAGGAUUUUUUCUAUUUGAACCAUCGUACUGAAUUCGUAGAUGGGCCCAACACUGAACUUGGCGGCGUCUCCAUUCAGAAAAGGAAGGAUGUCAGCUUCCCUCACACCAAACUUCACAGUCAUCCUAAGGAUUGGAACCAAACUUGGUUCUACUGUAAGGAUACUUCCCCUGAAGAUGAGAACCCUCUGCCGGGUUAUCGUGCUCACCGGCUUACCAACACACACCCAUUUCCACAACGACUGGCUGCUAAGGAACGGUCCACAUACGCACCACAACUCGCCAAGCUCAGAGCUUUCAUGGCUAACGGUUUGACAGGAGUGGACUUUCUUCGUUGCUGGAUAUCUUGGAGUAUUUUACCAUCAAGCCGUCGCCCCGGUUUAAUGUGUGAGUACACAGGGGACUCAAAAGAUCCUCAACAUCAUAUUGAUAUUCAGCUAACAGAGGCUGAAGUUACUGAGUCUAUUAAGAAGAUGCUGAAUGAACCACCAGCUGUCUGCAGUAGGACCGGGUUAAGUCCCUUUUAUACAUUGAAUAAACCGCCAACUGUAAGAAUUGCCUCACUCCUGCUUUGUACUUGAUAUUCUUAACUGUGCAAUCUUUUAUAUCCUCUGUCAAUCUUUUAACAGGGUGACAACCUAUUUUGGAAGAAGAAACCUCAAGAUAAACCGGCCAAGACCCCUCGACCGAAGACGAAGGUUGUCAAGAGACCUGCCAAGAAGAAGGCAGUUGAAUCCACCGGUUUUAACCUCGAUGAAGAUCUUGAUAAUCCGGCCUCAGAGGUAGAACUUGACUCUCUUGGUUCAUUUUUCAUACACCUCAUUGACAAUGAUUAUUAUCAGGAUGACGCUGAAGGCAGCUAAGCUGAUGCAGAGGUAAUUAUCCUUUCCUCCGGUUCAGACCCUCUGCCAACACAAAAAAUCUGUCAAGAAAUCCAGAAAGUAAGAUUGUCUCACCCCUAGCUCACUUGGACCCACACUUUCUUUUGAAGAAGCAGCAACACGAAGCUCGCCGCACAACCCGGCACAUCGGCCAAGUAGUCACUUCAGCCGGUUUACCGAACACUCCGGUUCGGAAGUGUUAAUCUGAGGUCUCACCCACUUCCGAUCCUUUUUAUCCCAAGGAAGGUUAUUUUCGACAACCCCUUAAUCCGUCCGAUUCCAAUUAUUAGGGAACACCUCAUUCAUCAUCUGUCGAGUCAAUGGCCACAUAGCUCCCUCCUCUUAAGACUGUUCCUGGGUAAAUACUUUAAACUUAAUCUUUUGACGCUUCAUACUUGCAUGUUCUACUGACCUUUAUAUCUUUUCCUUUCAGGGCCAAGGCCAGACCCAGCAAGAAAGCUCAGGUGAAUAAACCGUCUGAUGACCAUGUGGUUGUUGAACCGGAGAGAAUUCCAGAACCGGGAGGACCAAAUGCUGAUGCCAUGUUUGAUGAUCCACCCCCUCAAGAUCAUGAUUUUGUUGAACAAGUAGAAGUUGAUGCAACAUGCCAUGCUGAUAAACCGACAAGCCCGGUCCGUACUGAUGAUAAACCGUCUAGUCCAGCUAAGGCUGCUGAUAAACCGUCAACUCCAGUAAAGGCUGCCGGUGACAAGGAAGAUGAUGUUAUAAUUACUGACAUUGGCCACACCACCCCUGGCAAUCCUGUUGAGUUAUCAAAGCAUAGUGCCAAGGAGGAACUUUCCGCUAUGGGCAAAGGCAAAUGGAGCACAGACUUGUCAAGCUAUGCCCACCUCAACGCCUAGGAACUUCAUUCUGGUUUUUUAAACCGUCUGUACACAAACCGUGACUACGAAGCCAAUUUAGUUAAUCUGAUGAAGGAGCGAUAUGAGGUAACUACAUAACUGUUUCUCUCUUAUGUCCAAUUUCAAGUACCAACUCCAGUAGCCCCCAAGGGCCAAUUUAUGAUGCCAAUCUAAACCGGGACUUUGCAAUAUCUCAACUCUGCACGCUUAUCCUCCAAGGGUCGGUUGGUCCUUUUAAGAUGAACCGAUGCUUUCACAUUGUAUUCUUGUAACUUUCUCCUGUGUAGCCCCCAAGGGCCGGUUUAUCUUUCCAAGCUAAACCGAGACUUUAACCAAUGUUACUUUGAGCAAAAGUACAUUAGCCCCCAAGUGUCAAGAAUAAUACUUGUAUUGUGCUUGGGACUUGUAAAAAAUUUCUGAUAAUCAAGCAAAUAGGCAUUAGCCCCCAAGUGCCAAGUGUAUAACUUGUACUUCAAAUAUUCACUGCCACCUCAUAAUAUGUCCUUCUCUUAUAGGCUGAGCUAAGCAAAAAGGAAGCCCAAACUAUUGAUCUUCAAGAAAACAUCAAAUCUCAGCAAACAGAAACUUGCAAAGCCAAAGACGAAUUGACCAGUGCCUUAGCAGCCAUGGAGAAGCUAAAUGAAGCUUUUAACGAGGAACGGGCAGAUUGGGGCACAAAGAAAACUGGAUUACAAAAGAGAGCUGAAGACGUAGAAGCAGCCCUUAAACCGGUGGUCGAAGAACUGACCUGCUUAAAGCGGCAAAUAAAUGCCAUGACCUCUGCUGUGUUUGGUAAGUAUCCUCAUCUGAAGCUUUUCAAUAUACAUUAUCUCAUCAGUUGCCAGUUUACUGAUGCUUGCAAUGACACGGGAACUCACAUUACCCAUCUGGGCUCUGAUAUGCGGAUGAAGCUGAAGGCUGCCUAUACGCUGAUAGAGCAGUUAUAUUCCGGAGCCCAACGGGCCAUUUGCACCGCUGCGCAUAACAAACCGCCUCCAACCUUGAUAAAGGAAACCAUUGAGAAGCUGUCAAUGAUGCCCGCCCGGUUGGACGAACUAAAAAGAUCAGCUGCAAGGUCAGGUGCGCUGACUGUGCUAAUUCAGCCGAAGGCAUGGAUACCAGAUCUUGAACCUUCGGAUAUAGGCAGUGGCUACCCUGGCAUAAAGGAGGACGGUUCAGAAUUUAACAACGAUGAUCUUUGAAGGUUGACAAGGGAAAUGCGCCCCAUAGCGAGCAAAUUGGCUGAGGAAACAGAUAUCUCUCACUAUCAGCCGGUUUAUGAUUCCGAUCAGAAAAGAUAUCCUGCGCCAACACAUGAUGUAGAAGACCUUACUCCGCCAAUUCGUAAGCACACCUAUGCCCCUGAUGUCGACCCCUCCAACCUUAUAAGUGAUGAAGCUGUGUUCCAAGCUUUAACUAAAAUCGAUUGGGCAACCAUUGAUUUCCGGCCAUUGGAUAGAGAGGAGGAGGAGGACGCACCAGUGCAAGAUGACCCACAGCCGUCAAGUCAGCCUGGUGACGAGUCAUGAUCUGGAGGCCGUUUUAUCUUUCUGUGUACUGCCACCCUUGCUGAAAACAAUUAUUCUUCUUGGGCCUUAAAGCGCCUUGUAAUAGGCUAGUUCAAAAUACUUGGUCUGCUAUGCCAUCAUGCAUAUUUAUGUUGCCCGAUACUAUUAAUCCAGCUUGCUUCAGGAUAUAUUAUGUUCAUAAUCCGUAGUAGUGUUAUGCAAACUGUUCCAGCAUGUAAGAAAUUUGAAAGUGUCUUGGCGGUUUACCGCUGGACGGGUCAUGAUGCCCAAAUAUAUAGCCAGGGUUUAUAACUAAGGCUGUACUUUGAAAAUAAUCAAAGAUGAAAGAAAUGAUACCUGUGAUAUUGAAUCACUCUGUUGGUUGACCAACUUUUGUAUAUUUUAGGGUAAUAACCCCAAUCUUGAGUAUUGAUAACUCCUUCCCUGUUUUGCCGGUUUAUGAUAAAACUGUACCGGGUUAUAAUAAACACCGGUGUAUCCAUAUAUGAUGCUGGUGACUUGUAGUCGAAACCAGACCGGGUCAAUAAACACCGGAUUAUAACUGAUCAUGUACUUACAACUUAUUGUUGAAAGCUAACUCGGGUCAAUAAAUGCCGGUUUAUCAUAAAAUAUUAUAAAUCUCACCAAAGGAGAAAAAACUUGGCAAAAACAUAAAAAAGAUAUGCAAGGCUUUUCAUGGGCUGCCAGGCCCUAAAUAGAGGCUUUUCAUGGGCUGCCAGGCCACUGAGUUAAACCAUUUUGCGAAGCCUUUUAAGAUGGACCUCAAUCAUUAACCAAUCGUCGUUUUAACUUUGACAAGUUCAGGGUCUAUGAGAUUGACUUGUCAAACGUUCGGCGGGUCAUACCAGGUUUACCUGGACGGAGUGGCUUACUUAAAAAGGCAGGAUAACCCGGGGUUUUAGGUGAAUACAUCUGGCUUCCAAGCCUGGCUCGAUAGCCUAUUACAAGGGUGCAAGCUCUUUGUUCUUUGAGAAGUAAAGAGCCCCCAAGCAACAUUUGAGCUGUGCUCGGUGGGUGCCUAUGUUUGAGUUGUGUUGUUGCAACACUCUCUUUGGCCCCACAUGAUUUCCCUUUGGCCUUAAGCCGAUCAAGAGGUGUAGCUAUGGUUCGAAUACGACCAAGCCCCCUAGUGAUUUCCUUUUGGCCUUAGGCCGAUCAAUAGGUGUAGCUAUGGUUCGAAUACGACCAAGGACCCUAGUGAUUUCCUUUGAUAUGUGUGGCUUUAUAAGCCGAAUCAAUAGAACUCCGCUUUAUAAACAGAAGCCCCCAUGUAAGCACACAUGAUGUAAUAAAAACAACAGAGACCCUGCUUUAGCUGAGGCUCCGGUUUAUUAUUUUGAUCAUAAUAUAUACAUUGUCAUAAUUAUGUACAUAAGAAGAGCCCGUGGCUCAAGUAUAGUAAGGCCGAAGAUGAGCUAUAUUCCACGGCCGUUGGGUCUCCUCCUCCGAUUUACGUGAGUCUUUGCGCUCUCGAACAUCGAUAAGGUAGUAUGAUCCAUUGUGUAGAUUUUUGCUGACCACAAAAGGUCCUUCCCAAGGUGGGGACAACUUGUGCAUAUCAGUCUGAUCCUGGAUGAUCCGGAGCACCAGAUCGCCUUCUUGAAAAGUUCUGGUCUUAACCCGGCGGCUGUGAUAACAUCACAGAUCUUGUUGAUAAAUCACCAAAUGUGCCGCUGCGAGAUCACACUCCUCAUCCAACAGGUCCAGUGAGUCCUGACGUGCUUUCUCAUUAUUAGCUUCAACCUAAGCCACCACACAGGGCGAGUCAUGACGGAUGUCACUAGGGAGAACCGCCUCUGCUCCGUAAACCAUGAAGAAGGGCGUGUAAUCCGUAGAUCUAUUCGGUGUGGUGUUGAUACUCCAUAACACGGAAGGUAACUCAUCCACCCAACAACCCGGCGUCCGCUUUAAAGGAACCAUAAGCCGGGGCUUGAUGCCUCUCAAAAUCUCUUGAUUGGCUCUCUCUGCUUGACCAUUAGAUUGGGGGUGAGCCACUGAUGACACGUCAAGCCGGAUGUGCUCUCGUUGACAAAAUUCUUCCAUAGCACCCUUGGACAGAUUAGUACCAUUAUCAGUUAUGAUGCUGUGUGGAAAACCAAAACGGAAGAUCACCUUUUUGAUGAAUUGAACCGCCCUGGCCGCAUCACACUUACUGACUGGCUCUGCCUCUACCCACUUGGUGAACUUAUCAAUCGCCACCAGUAGGUGGGUCUUCUUGUCCUUGGACCUCUUAAAGGGCCCAACCAUAUCCAACCCCCAAGUUGCAAACGGCCAAGUGAUUGGAAUCAUCCUCAAUUCUUGAGCCGGAACAUGAGCGCGGCGUGCAAACUUCUGACAACCGUCACACCUCUUUACCAAAUCCUCAGCAUCAGCAUGAGCCGUCAACCAAUAGAAACUGUGACGAAAGGCCUUAGCUACCAAGGAUUUUGAACCGGCAUGGUGACCACAAUCUCCUUCGUGGAUCUCACGCAAAAUCUCACAGCCUUCUUGAGGAGACACACAACACUGAAAAGCCCCUGUUACGCUGCAAUGAUGCAACUCCCCAUUGAUAAUGGUCAUUGACUUGGAUCGCCGGAUUAUCUGCCGGGCCAAAGUUUCAUCAUCCGGUAACUCGCUCCGGUUCAUGUACGCUAGGUAUGGGACUGUCCAAUCUAGGAUAACAUGAAGAGCCACCACCAAUUGAGCCUUCGGGUCAGGAACAGCCAAAUCCUCCUCUGUAGGUAUCUUGACCGACGGAUUAUGUAGCACAUCCAGGAAGACAUUGGGAGGCAUCGGUUUACGUUGAGAGCCUAAGCGACUUAAAGCGUCUGCCGCUUCAUUCUUUUGCUAGUCUAUAUGUUCAGCCUGAUAACCCUUGAAAUGACCAGCCACUAUGUCCACCUCUCAUCGAUACGCCGCCAUGAGUGGAUCCUUGGAAUCCCAAGUGCCAGACACCUGUUGAGCCACCAGGUCCGAGUCACCAAAGCACUUAACCCGGCUUAAGUCCAUCUCCUUAGCCAUCCAAAGACCAUGGAGCAAGGCCUCAUAUUCAGCUGCAUUAUUAGUGCAAGGGAACAUUAAACGGAGAACAUAACAAAACUUAUCACCUCAUGGGGAAGUUAAUAUGACUCCAGCCCCCGAGCCUUCCAAUUGUCUGGACCCAUCAAAAUGAAUAGUCCAAUAAGUGUUAUCUGGCUUUUCCUCUGGUGCCUGCAACUCUGUCCAAUCAUUGAUGAAGUCCACAAGUGCUUGUGAUUUGAUUGCUGUGCGAGGCGUAUAUUUUAACCCGUGAGGUCCAAGCUCAAUAGCCCAUUUGGCAAUCCGUCCAGUUGCUUCUCUGUUUUGGAUGAUAUCCCCCAAGGGGGCAGAACUGACCACUGUGAUAGGAUGACCCUGAAAAUAAUGCUUGAGCUUCCUGCUUGCCAUGAAAACCCCAUACAUUAGCUUCUGCCAAUGUGGGUACCUCUGCUUGGACUCAAUAAGCACCUCGCUGAUGUAAUAAACCGGCCGUUGAACCGGAUACUCCUUUCCGGCCUCCUUGCGCUCCACAACAAUAGCCACACUAACAGCCCGGGCAUUAAAAGCCACAUAUAGCAACAAGGGCUCUUUAUCAACAGGAGUAGCAAGGAUAGGCGGUUCAGCUAACUGUCGCUUUAAACUCUUAAAGGCUUCAUUGGCAGCAUCACUCGAGAUGAAAUGGUCUGUCUUCUUCAUCAUCUGAUACAGAGGGAUUGCCUUUUCUCCCAAACGGCUGAUAAACCGGCUCAAUGCUGCAAUACGACCCGCUAGCCGCUGCACAUCGUUAAUACACGCCGGUUUAGACAGAGACGUAAUAGCUUUGAUAUUCUUCGGAUUAGCUUCAAUGCCCCUGUUAGACACCAGAAAACCCAAGAGCUUGCUUGCCGGUACACCAAAGACACAUUUAGCCGGAUUAAGCAUCAUCUUAUAAACCCAGAGGUUAUCAAAAGUCUCCUUCAAGUCAUCUAUCAAUGUUUCCUCCUUUCUGGACUUCACCACAAUAUCAUCCACAUAAGCAUGAACAUUGCGCCCAAUCUGUUCAUGAAGACAAUUCUGGACACAACACUAAUAAGUUUCCUGGGCACUCUUGAGCCCAAAAGGCAUAAAUACAUAGCAGAAGGCUCCAAAGGGAGUUAUGAAAGCUGUCUUCUCCUGGUCCUUAACUGCCAUUUUGAUAUGAUGAUAACCAGAAUAAGCGUCUAGAAAACACAAACGGUCACAACCUGCCAUAGCAUCAAUGAUAUGAUCAAUACGAGGAAGAGCAAAGGGAUUAGCUGGACAUGCCUUGUUCAAAUCUGUAUAGUCUACACACAUAUGCCAAGUGCCGUUCUUCUUAAGCACCAGCACCGGAUUAGCUGGCCACUCAGGGUGAAAGACCUCCACAAUAAACCCUGCUGCCAAAAGCUAGGCUACCUCCUCACCAAUAGCCUUGCGCCUUUCUUCAUUGAAGCAGCGGAGAAACUACCUGGCCGGUUUAAACUUAGGAUCUAUAUUAAGAGCGUGCUCAGCGAGUUCCCUCGGUACAGCUGGCAUGUCAGAAGGUUUCCAUGCAAAGAUGUCCUGGUUCUCACGGAUGAACUCGAUGAGCGCGCCUUCCUAUUUCGGAUCCAGGUUAGCGCUGAUACCGAACUGCCUGGAUGUAUCGCUAGGAACAAAGUCAACCAAGUUAGUCUCCUUGGCCGAUUUAAACUUCAAAGCUGGAUCAUGCUCUGUAGUUGGUUUUUUCAGGGAAGUCAUAUCUGCCGGAUCAACAUUGUCUUUGUAAAACUUCAACUCCUCCGUUGCACAAACCGACUCAGCAUAGGCCGCAUCACCUUCUUCACAUUCCAAAGCAAUCUUUCGGCUCCCAUGCACUGUGAUGGUCCCCUUAUGACCCAACAUCUUGAGCUGCAGAUAAACAUAACAGGGCCUUGCCAUGAACUUAGCAUAAGCUGGCCGCCCAAACAGGGCAUGAUAUGGGCUCUUGAUUUUCGCCACUUCAAAAGUCAAUGUUUCUGAUCUUGAAUCAUGAUCAUCUCCAAAAGCAACCUUUAGGGCUAUCUUACCAACUGGGUACGCCGAUUUACCAGGCACCACACCAUGAAAGAUGGUGUUCGACGGUUUAAGAUUCUUAUUUGUCAACCCCAUGCGAUGGAAGGUUUCAUAAUAAAGGAUAUUGAUACUGCUCCCUCCAUCCAUGAGUACCUUGGUGAACUUGUACCCCCCAACCUGAGGUGCCACCACUAAUGCCAGGUGACCCGGAUUAUCAACCCGGGGUGGAUGAUCCUCUCGACUCCACAUAAUGGGUUGUUCAGACCAGCACAGAUAAUGAGGCACUGCCGGUUCAACGGAGUUUACUACCGUUUUAUGAAGCUUCUGAUCACACUUACGCAAACUAGUGGUGAAGACAUGGUACUGCCCACUAUUCAACUGCUUCAGAUUACUCUAACAACCUGAUUGUUGUUGCUGCUGACUCCCCUGAUGAUUAUAACCUCCCUGGUCGCUCUGAUUGCCUUGAUUGCCAUGUCCGGUUUGGUUGCCUUGGAAUCCUGAACCGGAGCUGCCUCCGCCAUAACCCGGCCCAUGAGAACCGCCCCUGAACUGCCGAGCGGUCCCUGGUCAUAUUGGAAAGAACUUGAAUUUUUAAACUCCCGCAUGAUGAAACAAUCCUUCCAAAGGUGCGUAGCUAGCCUCUCUUGCGACCCGUGCUUUGGGCAAGGCUCAUUUAACAGGCGUUCAAGAUUGGGACCUGAACCUCUACCCCGCUGGGGCGGUUUACCCUUAUGGCGUUGACCAUUAUCCUAGGUGUUGGUGUUAGCCACAAAAUCCAAGUUGUUAUCUGCCUUGCGCUUACCGUUGUUUCCAUGGCCCGCCAGGUUAUGCUGCUUCCCCUUGGCACUGCCAUUCUUCUUUCCCUUCCUCGUCUUUUCAUCUUUAGACUCAGGGUCCUUGGUACUAUCUGAAUUAGCAUACUUAACCAGAGCUGCCAUAAGCGUGGACAUGUCAUUGCAGUGAUGCUUGAGCCUUCCCAACUUCAGCUUCAAAGGCGUAAACCGGCAAUUGCCUUCUAAUGUUAAGACUGCUGUGUCAGCAUUGAUGCGGUCUGAUGAAUGCAGAAUAGCUAAUACCCGCUUCACCCAAUGGGUUGUAGACUCCCCUUCCUAUUGAACACAGGCGGCUAAGUCUAUAAUUGACAUGGGCUGUUUGCAUGUAUCUUUGAAAUUUUGGAUAAACCGGUUUUUUAACUCGGCCCAUGACCCGAUGGAGCUAACUGGUAAACUUUUUAACCAAGUGCGAGUUGUUCCUUCCAACAUCAUGGUGAAGUACUUAGCACAUGCCGCAUUAUCCACGUCCAGCAUCUCCAUCGUCAUAUCAUAGCUCUCAACCCAUGACUCAGGGGGUAAAUCGGCAGUGUAAUUGGGCACCUUACGAGGACCCUUGAAGUCCUUGGGCAGCUGCACGUAACGUAGGGCCGGGGUAAGACAGGACACCCCAAAGAACUGAAAACCACGUCUGGUUCCACCGAAGUAGUUGGACGAACCGGAGUAAGCUGACGAGCCGCAUAUUGUGCUUCUAACUCGGCUUCUCGACGUGCUCGAUCGUGAUCAACCACAUCCUGGGCAUUAGCACCGCCACCCGCCGGGUUAUGCCCUCGCGGCGGGUUACUGUUUCGCGCACUGCUUGAUACAGCCGGUUCAUCAAUAUGCCUGCUGUAGCUCCGACUUGGGCGGGNNNNNNNNNNNNNNNNNNNNNNNNNNNNNNNNNNNNNNNNNNNNNNNNNNNNNNNNNNNNNNNNNNNNNNNNNNNNNNNNNNNNNNNNNNNNNNNNNNNNNNNNNNNNNNNNNNNNNNNNNNNNNNNNNNNNNNNNNNNNNNNNNNNNNNNNNNNNNNNNNNNNNNNNNNNNNNNNNNNNNNNNNNNNNNNNNNNNNNNNNNNNNNNNNNNNNNNNNNNNNNNNNNNNNNNNNNNNNNNNNNNNNNNNNNNNNNNNNNNNNNNNNNNNNNNNNNNNNNNNNNNNNNNNNNNNNNNNNNNNNNNNNNNNNNNNNNNNNNNNNNNNNNNNNNNNNNNNNNNNNNNNNNNNNNNNNNNNNNNNNNNNNNNNNNNNNNNNNNNNNNNNNNNNNNNNNNNNNNNNNNNNNNNNNNNNNNNNNNNNNNNNNNNNNNNNNNNNNNNNNGCGAAUAAACCUGCUGUUGGGUCAAAGCCAUCUGAAGGAGCUCUCUAGCCCGUCGUGUUUUAACUGCUACUAGAGACUCGCCUUCGAUUGGGAGAGCUGCCAAUCGUGAAGCAGCGGCGAUGAUGUUAUCCAACGGAUUAGAGUAAUGACCCAGAGGCGUUGAUACGUGCUGUGAUGGGACAUUGUUCUGACGAGGCGGAUCCGUCGCGCGCGGCUGAACCGGCGCCCUCGUUCCAGGCGCCUCCACCCGGUUUACCGCUGGCUGGUUGCUGGUUCCUGCCCCUGGCGUGUUGAAGAGAUUCCUUCCCUCGUAAACCGGAGGCAGGUGAGACCGGUACCUUCUCCUCAUGACGUCCUCUGAUGCGUUUUGAUCCAGCAUAAGCCUAUAAGCCCGUGCCUCUAACUCGGCCCGCUCUGCGGCCAUCCUGGUGUUCUCCGCUGCCAGAUCUACGUUAGCUUGAGCUAUCUGAUCCUUCACCUUUGCAAUCUCCAUGUUAUGUUGAUCCUAAUUCGCCGCGUUAACCUUAGCCGCCAGCAACGUCACCAAAGUGUCGAAUAAAUCAGACAAAACCUGAACCCGCGCUGGCGCGGGGCCUCCUGCCCCAGCUGGUGUUGCCACUGCUGAACCAGAAAUCACCGCUGCGGCGGUAGAAGAAUGCUGCACCAAUUGUGUACCGGCCAUGAAGAUCGCAACUCGGCUCGGCGGAUCAGGGAGGUCCGAAAUACUGUCGCCAUCGAAACCACCACUAAUCAGGUCAUCAUGGAGCUAAUAUAGCGACUCGGUCUCUCUGGUUGAAGACUCGUCAUCAGAGUAGACAACAGUUUCGCCACCAGAUACCAAUCUAUCCUCAGAUUCCGCUCCGUGGAUGACUCCCAUGAAGGCACGCUUCACGACAGGCUGAACACGGGCAGGUCUUGCACGCCGAGCCGUCUCAAUGAUGUCGGUGUAGAUGUAUGGCUCAGGGCCCGGUUCGCCGAUCUUGCCAAUGAAGACGUGUAUUCCGCCAAAGGGGACCCGGUACCCGUACUCGAUCUAGCCGGCCUCGGGGCCCCAGCCUGCGUCGUUGAUGUAGAGCUUGCCGCGACGAAUCUUGGUCAUCUAGCCCACAACGUAUCCCUUGAGUCCUUUGAAGCUGCCCUUCAAGAACUCGAAACCAUCGCACGAUAGCCCCACGGUGGGCGCCAACUGUCGUGGUUUUGUCAUGGCAGAUCUCCUAGUGAAAGGACUUAGUCAUGGAGCCAUCGCGACGGGUUAGCUUAAAGGGGUUAAAGCGGAUAAGGGACGCAAGGAAUUAUACUGGUUCUGCCCCUUACGAUGAAGGUGAAAGCCUACUCCAAUUGUGAUGGAAUUGCUAGGGCUUCGAUGACCAGGGAGCGAAUCCGCUUUGCCUGGCUCUCGAGUUAUUGUUGUCUGUCCCUAAACCACCGUCGGGUCGUCCCUUUAUAUACACAGGUUGAUGCCCGGCGGUUUACAGAAUCCCGAGGCUAGCUCAUAAAUGUGCCCGGCUCGGUUUCUACCUUUCCUUGCCUUACAACAUAAGUUUCAUAUCAUAUGGUGGUUUAUGCCUACGGGCUCUAAUCCGCCUUUGGGCCCUGGGACUUCAUGUUAGAUCUCCUCUGUAAAGCGCCAUACCUCUUGUCUUCAUGGGCUUCAAACAUGACUAACUCCUUGUGGACAUAACCCGACCCCUCAUGUUCGGUUUAUAGUUAAUAGUAAUAUCCCCAACAGGGACCGAUAUAAUCGACUCGGUGGGACCGAUGUGCUAGGGUUAGGGUAAAGCCUCAUCUCGGUUUGACCGAUUACACAAACUCGGUGGGACCGAUUUGGGUAAUAAGCAAAACAGAGAGUUGGCCAAGGAAACUCGGUGGGACCGAUUGCAUGUCUCGGUGGAACCAAAAUUAUUGCAAUAGGCAACAGAGAGUUUGCAAGCCCAUCUCGGUGAGACCGAGAUCUCAUCGGUGAGACCGAAUUGAUUAGGAUUUCUGGCAGUGGCUAUGUCAACUGAACUCGGUGGCGCCGGAUAGAAAGUUUCGGUGGGGCCAAGUUUGACUUUUUGUUUGGGACAUAUUUGGAUAUGAUAAAGUGGUUAAGGGCUUUGGAGCAUAUCACUAAGCACUUUGAGCAAGCAAGCCAUUGAGCAACACCUCAUCCCCUCUUAAUAGUAUUGGCUUUCCUAUGGACUUAAUGUGAUCUUGGAUCACUAAAAUAAAAUGUAGAGUCCUGAGCUUUGAGCUUGAGCCAAUCCUUUGUCCUCAACAUCUUGAAGGGGUUCCACAUCCUCUAGUCCAUGCCACUCCAUUGUUGAACUUAUCUGAAACAUACUAGGUAGAAGUAUUAGUCCAACAAGAGAUAUGUUGACAUUAAUUACCAAAAUCACCCAGGGAGCACUUGUACUUUCAAUCUGCCCCUGUUUGGUAAUUGAUGACAACAUACAUCAAAGCUUUAGAUAAAGAUAUAGAGAAUAACAAGUAAAGCUUUGGAAAGACAUGUAACAUGCAUAGGCUCCCCCUACAUGUAUGCAAUCAUGUAAACAUGGAACAUAGGAGCAUGUGAAUGCAUAAGCAUGACAUAGUAAGCAAUGUGUUACAUGUAUCUUGGCUAUAUGCAUCAGAGAAAAUGAUGUGAAUAUAGGAAAUGUACCUUCAUGCUCAUGAGUCCUUCUUGCAAACAGUAUGUACAUCAGCAAGAAAUCCUCAUACACAUGACUGUGAUGCAAUACUUACCUUGUGGUCUUGAGUUGGCUUAGGAAGGAAUGAACCUGAGUAAACAAGGUUAGAUAACACAGAUACACCUACUAGCCAGAGCGAACAAAAGAAACCACAAGAGUACCAAGACUGGGAUGACAUGUAGAGAGUGAGUACUGUAUUGGAUAUAGACAUGUCCCCAAGGGUAAAGAUGUGCAAUGAAUUCAAGGAUUUCCUUACCUUAGAUGUCUUGCUCCCCCUGAAUCUUGCAUGGGAUAUUGGGAGAAGACAGGGAACAGAAAAUCAGAGCAAAGAAAAGAAACAUAGCUAAUGCAAACAAUCAACUAUGAACAUGUGUCGGUGUCAAAACCGGCGGAACUCGGGUAGGGGGUCCCGAACUGUGCGUCUAGGCCGGAUGGUAAUAGGAGGCAGGGGACAUGAUGUUUUACCCAGGUUUGGGCCCUCUUGAUGGAGGUAAAACCCUACGUCCUACUUGAUUAAUAUUGAUGAUAUGGGUAGUACAAGAGUAGAUCUACCACGAGACCAGAGAGGCUAAACCCUAGAAGCUAGCCUAUGGUAUGAUUGUAUGUUGUGAUUGUUGUCCUACAGACUAAAACCCUUCGGUUUAUAUAGACACCGGAGAGGGUUAGGGUUACACAAGGUCGGUUACAAAGGAUGAGAUAUCCAUAUACGUAUUGCCUAGCUUGCCUUCCAUGCCAAGUAGAGUCCCAUCCGGACACGAGACGAAGUCUUUAAUCUUGUAUCUUCAUAGUCUAACAGUCCGGCCAACGGAGAUAGUCCGGCUGUCCGGAGACCCCCUAAUCCAGGACUCCCUCAGUAGCCCCUGAACCAGGCUUCAAUGACGAUGAGUCCGGCGUGCAGUAUUGUCUUCGGCAUUGCAAGGCGGGUUCCUUCUCCGAAUACAUCACAAAAGAACUUGAAAAUGAGGAUAGUGUCCGACCCUGCAAAAUAAGUUCCACAUUCCACCGCAGAGAGAAUAAUAUUUUCACAGAUCUAAUUUGCUGGCUUGUUUUGGCCGCAUGAAGUUAUGUCAUGGCCCGGUGAUUAUUCGAACCGUUUCUUUUAACCAGCUCUGCACAUAACACGAGGUAGUUUUUCGACACGUCUUGUCAAAGCAGAGAUCGUGCCCCCUUAUUACGGGAUUCUCAUCAAUACGGGCGUGGGUAACCCAACCGCGCCAUCAAUUGCGGCGCUUGGGGGAUAAGCGAGUUUUACCAGGCAAGUGGGGACACUUAGUUUCAUCCGCCCAUAUAAAGGGAUAAGGAUUCACCUUUCUAUCCACACCUUCUUCCUCCUUUGCUCAUCCGUCUUCGCACACUCGAGCUCUAGCACCCAAGUCCACACUUCCACCUCAAUCUUCUCCAACCAUGUAUGGAGUGGGAGGCAAGUGGAUGGUCUCCUCUGUCAUGGAGGGAGACAUCAAGAAACUGAGGAGAGUCGGAUACCUGCCCGACGACAUCGCGCACCGGCUCCCCGAUGAGGGGCAGCUCAUCCCCACCCCCAGGCCCCAUGAGAGGGUAGUAUUCCUCACCCAUUUCCUCCGCGGACUGGGAUUCCCUCUCCAUCCCUUCGUCCGGGGGCUCAUGUUUUAUUACGGCCUGGAUUUCCACGAUCUGGCCCCGAACUUCAUCCUCAACAUCUCGGCGUUUAUCGUCGUGUGCGAUGCCUUCCUCCGCAUCAAGCCCCACUUCGGCUUAUGGCUGAAGACCUUCAAUGUCAAGCCGAAGGUGGUGGGCGGCCGCCAGGCGGAGUGCGGAGGCGCCAUGGUGGGCAAGAUGCCCAACAUAACAUGGCUCGAGGGCUCCUUUGUGGAAACCAUAAAGGGGUGGCAAUCGGGGUGGUUCUAUAUCACCGAGCCGCGCGACCCUGCAUGGGCAGCGGCCCCCGAGUUCCGAUCUGGCAUCCCCACGUGGCUCACCUCCUGGAAAUAGAAGGGACUGUCCUGGGGUAAUUCGAAAGAGCUGAUCGGACUCCAAACAUGUAUUCAAAACAUGGUGGACAAGAAGCUCAAGCUUGUGAACAUAGUCCAAGUCAUGGUCAUCCGCCGGAUACUCCCGUGCCAACAACGGGAGUUCAACUUGUGGGAGUUCAAUCCGGCGCAACACCGAACUUUGAACAGGCUCUUUGACACGACUCAUGAAGAUGCCUGGAGGGUGCUGUUCAAAAGUGCCGAGGUCCCCCCCCUAUCACGAAGGAUCGCGGAUUCAGCGCGAAGCGCCAAGCCAGUGCAGUAAGCUGCUAUACCUUUCACAUGAUACUUAUCUUUUCAUAUAGAUUGACUCUAUGCGGGAUCUAAACUCCCGUACCUUUGACAGGACUGGCAGAAGAUGGCCGGACAGAUCGACUGUCCGACACCUUUGCCCGAAGGCCCCGCAGACGCUCUUCGGGCGAAGAUGUUGACUCCGGCCCCUUAUAAGGUGCCGGAGAAGACCAAGAAGGCCAAGGGAACUCGAAAGAGUUCCCGACGCCAGGCGUCAUCGGACUCACCGUCCGAUGAUUCCGCGGCGUACUCUUCCCCCGAAGAUGAGGAGGAAGAAGAAGAAGAUGCUCCCCCACCGACUGGGGGAGACAAGAAAGGAAAGGCCGCCCCAACUGGGGAGGCCGAAGGGUCCAAGAAGGGAAGGACUCUCCUUCCGGACAGCUCCACCGCCGCCGACGAAGGCGAAGACGAGUGGUUGCCCAGGGCCAAGCCCCCGGGGAGAUCGUAAGUAUUUGGAUACCAAAGUAACCCAUAGGAUUCCUUUGUCGCAUUGUUUUCCCUGACGCCGAACACAAUUAGGCAGGCCGCCCCGAGCCAGUAUCGAUGUAUCGUCGGACGACUCCUUGGGCUUGUCGGACAUGGAUAACGAUCCAGUCCCGACCGCCACCUCCCCUCAUCCUACCGACGACGCCGAGGUGUUAUCUCAAGAGGCACCGGAUCGAGGGGAGACAGUCCCGGAGGCGCCUCAAGGUGACCUUCCGGACUCUGGGAGCCGAGGGGACGGGGCCCCCGAGAGCUCUGAGUUCGGCCCCCAGCCGAACACCGCGCCGGACCCUCCAGCGGUUCCGGGCUCGGGCAGGCGGCCUCCUUCUAAGAGGGGCAAGACGCCUAUGCCGGUGAUCUCUGUCCAUCUAGAGGCGCCGGACAAUCUGCUGGAAGUGCUUCGCAACGCUUCUAUCGACGAGGAGCACCACACUAUCAUGAGUGCGGUGAUCCAGAAGGUUCAGUCCACCAAGAGCAGAUUGACUGAAGCCUAUGCCAGGCUUCUAACAGGCUUUGAGGUAAGUGUUUUAAAAUUUAGUAGAAAUAUUACCGCAUAGAUAGUAGCCCCCGAUGCUUUGUUUAGUGUUCGCAAAGAAAAGCCGAACAAAGGAUCAAAUAAUAUCACAGGAGUCUAAUAUAGGUGUGUCAAUAUGCGUAUGCUGGCUUCGUUGCUGGCGUCCACCGCACUGACUGUGGAGGUCGUCGUACUGAAGCAGGACCUCGAGGGGUCCAGGAAAGAGCUCGGCCUUGCCAAGAGGCAGCUCGAGGAGAACAAGGGUAAGUAAUACCCCAUCUAUAGAUAUGUAAGAAAGGACGCGAUUGCAAAAUGACAUGAUCAUCGUAUGUUUGUCAGGGGCCACGACUGAGGUGGCGACCCUGAAGCAAGCGCUAACCAAGGCCGAAGAUACAGCGGCCAGGGAGCGCACCGAGCGAGAGAAGCACGAGGCUCGGGUGGGCGAGGUGCAGCAAGAGCUCCAGGCUCUCGUGACAAAGCACGAGGCAUUGGAGCUUGACUCGAAGACGCGAGAGUCUGAGCUUGCUGCGGCCCUUGAGAGCGCAAAGAGUGCCAAGGCCGAGGCCUAGAAGGCCCUCCAGGAGAUCGAUGCAAUGAAGAAGAUAGCGGCGGGUAAGGCUUUCUAUAUGCAAAGCAAGCAUGUAAAAGUAAAUUACCGAUUACUUACCCGGAUCCGGAGCUCUUUAGGAGCAUUCGCAGAUUUACCCCGCAGUGUGUCCGAUGCCGCACAAUUUUACCAGGCCGAGGACGGAAGCUCGACGGAGAAGCUGUUCUGGUCUCAGUAUGCUGAGGCCGAACAUCCGGUGCCGAUGAGCGACCAGCGGAAGCAGAUGGUCGAGCUACAUAAGGCGGCCGAUCAGGCCAUGAAGGGCUUUAUAGUCCGGCUGUGGCCUGGCGACGCCCUUCCGAACAGCUUCUUCGGCCUGGUGAGGCGGCUUGUGGAUGCCUGCCCACAGCUGGAGGUCGUCAAGCAAUCCGUCUGCAUUGAAGGUGCACGCCGGGCUUUUGCCCGUGUGAAAUUGCAGUGGGUCAAGCUAGACGCCCUGAAGCUGAUUAAGGAGGGGCCGCCGGAGGGCAAGGAGCACCGCCACCCUGAGAUGUACUACGAGGGUGUUCUGCCGGGUGCCCGUCUUAUCAUGGAUGAGUGUUCAAAAGAUGUAAUAUUUGAGUAAACUCGCUCAUUUUAUCCUGUAUUUAUGAAAACAUGUUUCAUAUGUGCUAUGAAAUGCUUGUUUGAAUUUAAAAUAUUACCUUCUGUUUAGCUGUUUAUCCAAUCUGAGAGAUGGCUAGUCCUCGGCUUCUGCCGCCAUGCCACGAGUGCUGGGGUGUUCGGGAUAAACCUGAGCACCCUUGUUCCCAUAUUUGGGUCCUUCGAGGGAGGUGCUCAGCACAAUGAACAAGGCAACCGGACUAAUAAUGCUUUAUCACUCUCACUUAGCCAUAUAAUUCUAUAAUUUUAAAUUUCGGCGAAGCCCCUGGAUUCGGAAGGCCGAAUUCGGGGCGCGAUACACGCCUGUAAGCCGGACAGGGCCGGCCCCUCGCCCUAAGCGGCAUAAGUCUUUAGGGACUCGAAAAACCUCGCCGAAUAGCGACCAGUCUCUUGCCUUAUCAUGAUAGUCAGUUUUAGCUUUCUCUACUGAGGUGCUAAGCCCGGCAGAACCGGGGCACAAUCGCAGUAGUUCUCCUAGCGCUACCUUAGCCGAUAGAGCGGAACAUAAGGUACCAAAACAUAGGAGCCGGGCAAACCCAACAUUUGACCAAAGACAUGAUUCAGAGCUGAUGCAUAUAAUGCUAUAAGUUCAGGGUGCCACACUUGUGAAAGUGUUCAGAGUUUUCACACCGCAUUGUGGGGUACGUAAGCCCCUGGUGUAUUGGCCGUACCAGAGUGUACGGUUGCAAGGCGUCAUUAAUGAACACACACACACACACACACACACAUAUAUGACAAGAAUGCAAUAAUAGUCGUAAUGUCAUGCAUUGUUUAUUAAAAAAUUGCGUUAGAGCAGAGUGAUACAGAUAGUGCGAUAAGCAAAGAGUAGGACUAUGUCCCUUCCAAGGGCAAGCUGAGGAAUGAUAUUAAAUUGAAUAUUUCACUUGUUACUGUAAUCAACCUGGGAAUUCCGUGGUAUAACGUAGUUGUUUGCCUCCUUGGUUGCUGCAUCAUGUGUUCGGCAAUAGUGCUGCCGGACAGUGUUUCUAGAGAUUAAGGUCCUGAAAGAAAAAGAAAAAUAACCAAACGGGAAGCCCCUAGUGCAGUUUAGGCCGCGUUUUAGGGCGUGCCGCAGUUGUGCCCCCUCCCCACCUGUGCCCAUGGUAUUUUUAAUGCGUAAUUAUGUACGCGCGGCAUGAAUAUCACCGUUGGGCCGAGAUUGGGGUGGCCGCCGUAUUGCUACGCGAGCCCAGAUUGCGCGAGGCGGUCUAUUUGCCAAUUGCUCCGAGCACGCUUGAAGGUGUCCUGGCUUUGAAGCGCCGAACUGGUUGAUUGCCUUGAGAGGCUGCUUUGCGCUUCUGCUGCGAGGGCCGCGGUGUGCUCCUCUGUUCGGAGAGAGCGCUUUGUGUUUCCAUUGACUGUAAUAACUCCGUGAGGUCCUGGCAUCUUGAGCUUGAGGUAUGCAUAAUGCGGUACCGCAUUGAAUCUAGCAAAUGCGGUUCGCCCGAGCAACGCGUGAUAACCACUGCGGAACGGGACUAUAUCAAAGAUUAACUCUUCGCUUCAGAAGUUAUCCGGGGAUCCGAAGACCACUUCGAGUGUAAUUGAGCCUGUGCAAUGGGCCUCUACACCUGGGAUGACACCCUUAAAGGUCAUUUUUGUGGGUUUGAUCCUUGAGGGGUCUAUACCCAUUUUGCGCACCGUGUCCUGAUAAAGCAGGUUCAGGCUGCUGCCGCCGUCCAUAAGGACUCGAGUGAGGUGAAAUCCGUCGAUGAUUGGGUCUAGGACCAGUGCGGUGAAUCUGCCAUGACGGAUACUAGUGGGGUGGUCCCUGCGAUCGAAGGUGAUCGGGCAGGAGGACCAAGGGUUGAACUUUGGGGCGACUGGCUCCAACGCAUAUACGUCCCUGAGUGCACGCUUCCGCUCCCUCUUGGGGAUGUGGGUUGCGUAUAUCAUGUUCACCGUCCGCACUUGCGGGGGAAACCUCUUCUGUCCUCUAGUGUGCAGCUGCCGAGGCUCCUCCUCCUCAUCGCUAUGCGGCCGCUUGUCCUUGUUUUCGGCAAUUAACUUGCCGGCCUGCUUGAACACCCAACAAUCCCUGUUGGUGUGAUUGGCUGGCUUGUCUGGGGUGCCGUGUAUUUUACAUGAGCGAUCGAGUAUACGGUCCAAGAUGGACGGACCUGGCGUACUUUGUUUGAAUGGCUUUUUCCGCUGACCGGGUUUAGAGCCUUUGAAUCCGGCAUUGACUGCCGUAUCCUCAGUAUUUUUGCUAUUAAUGCGGCGCUUAUGCUUGUUGCAACGUGACCUGCUAUUGCCGUCCUUGGUAUCUGAGGUACCAUGCUUCUUUGAUAUGUUAUUACUACGAGCCAGCUAGCUGUCUUCUCCCGCACAAAAGCGGGUCAUGAGCGUCGUGAGAGUUGCCAUAGAUUUCAGCUUUUCCUGACCAAGGUGCCGGGCUAGCCACUUGUCUCGAAUGUUGUGCUUGAAAGCCGCUAAGGCCUCCGCAUCCGGACAGUCGACGAUUUGAAUUUUCUUUGUAAGAAACCGAGUCCAAAAUUGUCUGGCCGACUCUUUUGGCUGCUGAAUUAUGUGGCUCAAGUCAUCGGCAUUUGGUGGUCGCACAUAGGUGCCCUGAAAGUUGUCGAGGAAUGCGGCUUCUAGAUCUUCCGAAUAGCUAAUGGAGUCAGCUGACAAGCUGUUAAGCAAAUGCCGCGCUGGUCCUUUGAGCUUUAGUGGGAGGUAUUUGAUGGCGUGUAAGUCAUCACCGCGGGCCAUGUGGAUGUGGAGGAGGAAGUCCUCAAUCCAUACUGCGGGAUCUGUUGUGCCGUCGUAUGAUUCAAUGUUCAUAGGUUUGAAACCUUCUGGGAAUUGAUGUUCCAUUACUUCGUCUGUGAAGCAUAAGGGGUGUGCAGCGCCUCUGUAUUGGGCUAUAUCGCGACGCAGCUCAAAUGGGUCUUGCCCACUGUGUUCGGCCCGUCCGGAUUUGCUUCUGUAUCCGACGUGACGUUUGUUGUCUCGCAGAGUGGUGCGCCCUCGUGAUCCGUAGAUCGAUCUUGAAUGCUUUGUCUUGUCCUCCAAUAUGUCUCGCAGGUCUGGCGUAUCUCCCCGUGCCUUUUUAUUCGAAUGGCGUUGGGGUGGAGGCUGAUCCUUUGGCUAGAAUGCCUCUCUAUCGCGGCCACGAGGUGGCCGAUCAGCCAUAUCAUAUGCUUCUUCCUCCAGUCGGGGUAGUAACCUGCGCCUUGGGUAGCUCUUGGAGGGGCGCUCAAGUUUAUAUUCCUCGGCCGCGAGGACUUCAGUCCAUUUGUCAGCUAGCAGAUCUUGAUCAGCUUGAAGCUGCUGCUGCUUUUUCUUUAGGCUAUUUGCCGUGGCCAUAAGCCGGCGCUGGAAGCGCUCUUGUUCGAUGGGAUCCUCUGGGACGGCGAAUUCAUCAUCGCCGAGGCUUGCCUCGUCUUCGGAGGGGGGGGGGGAUGUAAUUGUCAUCCUCCUCCUCUCCAUCUGCCGCUCUCUCAGGAGAGCUGGCUCCUUCAUCCUCCUGCUCUAAAUCUUGCUGGAGGGGAUUGUUGUUGUCUUCGGCACUAUCCGGAGUAUUAUUAUCUCCUGUGCCGGUAUCACCACUUUUGCUUUGGCAGGACUUAGAGCGGCGCCGGUGACGUCGGCGCUUGGGUUGCUUCUUGGAGGGGUCAUCCUCCGCUACCUCGUCGCCAUUGCCUUCGUUGGGUGUAUCCACCACAUAUAUGUCAUAUGACAAGGUGGCUUUCCAGUGCCCUAUAGGUGCUGGUUCAUGUUCGUCUCCUACAUCGUCGUCCAUACCGUCGAUGUCUUCGAAGUUGAAGUCGAGCAUGUCGAUUAAAUCAUCGACAAUGGCUACGAAGUGGGUGGUGGGUAGGCGUCGAAUUUCUUCGUCGUCCGCAUCCCAAUCCUGUUGGCCAUAAUCCGGCCAGGGCUCUCCUGACAAAGAGAGACCUUAGUGAAUUCAGAAUGUCGCCGAAGGGCGAGUGCUGAAAGAUAUCCGCGGCGGUGAAUUCCAUGAUCGGUGCCCAAUCGGAUUCGAUUGGCAGGGGCGCGGAUGGUUCGGAGUCCGGAAAAGAGUCCGGCACCUUGGAGUCACGGGCUGCGCAGAGGAUUAUGCUGGUGUUCGGCUCGAUCAUCAUUGAGACUGCAGCCCCUGAGGCAGUGUCUAACUACCCAUCCUCGAUUGGCGCAGUUGGCUCCGAACUAAGGGUCGGAGCUGAUGCGGGUGCGGCCUCUGGGGUACUGUUCGGCGGCAGAGCUAGGGCAUACCCAUCGCGACAGUGCGACGCGCCCGGCUGUGGCUCGAAUCCGUCGAAGAUCAAGUCUCCGCGGAUGUGGGACGUGUAAUUCAAACUUCCAAAUCUGACCUGAUGGCCAGGGGCGUAGCUUUCAAUCUGCUCCAGAUGGCCAAGCGAAUUAGCCUGCAGUGCAAAGCCGCUGAAUACGAAGAUCUGUCCGGGGAGAAAAGUCUCACCCUGGACCGCAUCGCCAUCGAUGAUAGUAGGAGCCAUCAAGACUAAUGGCGACGACACAGAGGAACUCUCAUUGAAAGCACCAAUGUCGGAGUCAAAAUCGGCGGAUCUCGGGUAGGGGGUCCUGAACUGUGCGUCUAGGCCGGAUGGUAACAGGAGGCAGGGGACACGAUGUUUUACCCAGGUUCGGGCCCUCUUGAUGGAGGUAAAACCCUACGUCCUGCUUGAUUAAUAUUGAUGAUAUGGGUAGUACAAGAGUAGAUCUACCACGAGAUCAGAGAGGCUAAACCCUAGAAGCUAGCCUAUGGUAUGAUUGUAUGUUGUGAUUGUUGUCCUACGGACUAAAACCCUUCGGUUUAUAUAGACACCGGAGAGGGUUAGGGUUACACAAGGUCGGUUACAAAGGAGGAGAUAUCCAUAUACGUAUUUCCUAGCUUGCCUUCCACGCCAAGUAGAGUCCCAUCCGGACACGAGACGAAGUCUUCAAUCUUGUAUCUUCAUAGUCUAAUAGUCCGGCCAAUGGAGGUAGUCCGGCUGUCCGGAGACCCCCUAAUCCAGGACUCCCUCAACAUGUCUUUCCCCUCUUAAAUACAUGUGACUUCUCUCCUCUUGAACACCAAGCAUCUGGGGUUUCUUACACUCUCCCUGAGUAUGCUCUCCCCCCUAUAGCAAUGAUUAAGCUUAACCUGUGAUGUGAUCUCUCUCUUAAGAUUUGAUGUGAUCUCUCUCCCCCCUUUGACAUCAAUUACCAAGAAGGGCUCUUCUGGAUUGUUAGUACAAAUGGGUUUGGCCCUUGAGUCACAAAGCAAAGCAGCAAGUCGAAUAUGAUGCUGGUAGAGGACAAGAAUCAAUAAGUGGAGCUGGAGCAAAAAGAAUGCAGGAAUCAAGUGGCAAGCUGUCUUUCCUGUAGUGAAAUCGGUAGCACCGAGUUGUGUACUUCGGUGGCCCCGAAAGAAUUCGGUUGGACCGAAGGAAACAAAUCGGUGUGACCGAGUCCAUCAUAGAGAAAACACUUGUCACCUCAGCUCACUAGGCAAUUUAGAUCUCGCAAGGAUUUGCAAGGAAUUUGCUGAAAGAUUUGCAAUGAAUUGGAUGCAGGGAAUGCAGAACACAAAUAAACAGAAAGGAAAUCUAGAUGAAGUCGAAAGGGGAAAUAAAUAUGCACAAGACAAAUGCAAGAGCAUAGAGAAACACACGAGAACUUCAUAUAGAAUUGGUCGGCGACAAAGUCACCUAUGUUAGAGUAUAUUGACUUACGAGUCAAGUGAGGACACUUGAUCAUAGGUCAUACUCAUCGUUUAAGCUCAAAAUGGGGUUACCAUUUUUCGUUUAAGCAUUUUGAUGUAUUCACAUCUUGUUGAGUUGCUUGGACCCAUGACUUGGAGUAAAGUUUCUCUAAGAUGGAAUAACAUACCUUGGGUGGUGGUGUUGAUCUUGAUCAUGUAGUUGAACUUGUGUGGGUUGCUCAAGGUUGAUGUAGCUCAUCAAGAGUUGGGAGCACCACUUGGAAUUAGAGUUCAUCUUCCCUCAUGGGUUAUCUUUGCAAGGAAGAGCACUUGUAUAUCCAAGAUGACAAUCAUAAAACUUAAUGUAGAAUUUGUCAAAGGAUAUGUUUGAAGGGUUUCGUGCUUCCUUGACUUCAACCACCAUUGUGUAGAGACUUGGAGAUGUAGAAAUUGCUCAAGAUAUGAGUGAGUUGCAAUCUCAUGGAUUUAGAUUCAUCCAAGUACCUACAAGGGUUAGGUAGGAUGCAAGGGUGCAAGUAUAUCCGAGACAUAUAAAUAUCAUCAUGAAAGAAAUAUCAAGGAUUAGUCAAAGGCUCAUGCCUUGCAUGUAUCCAAAUGGAGUUUUAUACUCCAAGUUUGAAGCAUCAAUGAUGUUCAAUUCUCCUCUCAAACGGCAAAAGACUUUCUCAUCAAGCGGUUUGGUGAAUAUAUCUGCCAACUGCUUAUCGGUACGAACAUGCUUAAGAUCAAUGUCCCCUUUGGCAACAUGAUCACGAAUGAAAUGAUGAAGAACUUCAAUAUGCUUAGUUCGAGAAUGUUGCAAGGGAUUGUGAGCAAUCUUGAUAGCACUUUCAUUGUCACAAAGCAAUGGAACAUGUUUCACAUAUAUGCCAUAGUCCUUGAGAGUUUGGGUCGUCCAAAGUAAUUGAGCACAACAUGAACCAACGGCAAUGUAUUCCGCUUCGGCGGUGGAUAAUGAUACCGAGUUUUGUUUCUUGGAAGAUCAAUACACAAGAGAUCUACCAAGAAAUUGACAAGUACCUGAAGUGGACUUUCUAUCAAC